UACGAAGGGGGCUAGCGUUGUUCGGAUUUACUGGGCGUAAAGCGCACGUAGGCGGAUCUUUAAGUCAGAGGUGAAAUCCCAAGGCUCAACCUUGGAACUGCCUUUGAUACUGGCUGUCUUGAGUUCGGGAGAGGUGAGUGGAAUGCCGAGUGUAGAGGUGAAAUUCGUAGAUAUUCGGCGGAACACCAGUGGCGAAGGCGACUCACUGGCCCGAUACUGACGCUGAGGCGCGAAAGCGUGGGGAGCAAACAGG
rnacentral:rRNA from 1 species